GGUGGGCCCGCGGCCUAUCAGCUAGUCGGUGGGGUCACGGCCUACCGAGGCGAUGACGGGUAGCUGGUCUGAGAGGACGACCAGCCACACGGGGACUGAGACACGGCCCCGACCCCUACGGGAGGCAGCAGUGAGGAAUCUUCCGCAAUGGGCGAAAGCCUGACGGAGCGACGCCGCGUGUGGGAUGAAGUCUUUCGGGAUGUAAACCACUGUCGGAGGGGAAGACAUCGACGGUACCCUCCAAGAAAGCCCCGGCUAACUACGUGCCAGCAGCCGCGGUAAUACGUAGGGGGCAAGCGUUAUCCAGAUUUACUGGGCGUAAAGCGCGUGUAGGCGGCUGGUUAGGUGUGAUGUGAAAUCUUCCGGCUCAACCGGAAAACUGCAUUGCAAACCGGCCUGGCUAGAGUGCAGGAGAGGGAAGCGGAAUUCCAGGUGUAGCGGUGAAAUGCGUAGAUAUCUGGAGG
rnacentral:rRNA from 1 species